rnacentral:rRNA from 1 species
AUUGAACGCUGGCGACAUGCCUUACACAUGCAAGUCGAACGGCAGCACGGGUGCUUGCACCUGGUGGCGAGUGGCGAACGGGUGAGUAAUACAUCGGAACAUGUCUUGUAGUGGGGGAUAGCCCGGCGAAAGCCGGAUUAAUACCGCAUACGAUCUACGGAUGAAAGCGGGGGACCUUCGGGCCUCGCGCUAUAGGGUUGGCCGAUGGCUGAUUAGCUAGUUGGUGGGGUAAAGGCCUACCAAGGCGACGAUCAGUAGCUGGUCUGAGAGGACGACCAGUCACACUGGGACUGAGACACGGCCCAGACUCCUACGGGAGGCAGCAGUGGGGAAUUUUGGACAAUGGGCGAAAGCCUGAUCCAGCAAUGCCGCGUGUGUGAAGAAGGCCUUCGGGUUGUAAAGCACUUUUGUCCGGAAAGAAAUCCUUGGCCCUAAUACGGUCGGGGGAUGACGGUACCGGAAGAAUAAGCACCGGCUAACUACGUG